AAUGAACGUUGGCGGCAUGGAUUAGGCAUGCAAGUCGAGCGCGAAGAGUCAUUUGCUUGCAUUUGACUCUGAAAGCGGCGUAAGGGUGAGUAACGCGUAGUUACCUACCUCCGGGUCCGGAAUAGCUGCGGGAAACUGCAGGUAAUGCCGGAUAAUAUCUCAGGAUCAAAGGUGAGAUUCCGCCCGGAGAGGGGACUGCGUCCUACUAGCUUGUUGGUGGGGUAAUGGCCUACCAAGGCUUCGAUGGGUAGCGGGCGUGAGAGCGUGGCCCGUCACACUGGGACUGAGACACUGCCCAGACACCUACGGGUGGCUGCAGUCGAGAAUCUUCGGCAAUGGGCGAAAGCCUGACCGAGCAAUGCCGCGUGCGGGAUGAAGGCCCUCGGGUUGUAAACCGCGAAAGUAAGGAGGAAGGACCUGCGAAGAGCAGGUUUUGACCGAUCUACAGUAAGGACGGGCUAAGUUCGUGCCAGCAGCCGCCGUAA
rnacentral:rRNA from 1 species